UACGGGGGGAGCGAGCGUUGUUCGGAAUCACUGGGCGUAAAGGGUGGGCAGGCGGGAAAUUAAGUCGAAUGUGAAAACCCCGGGCUUAACCCGGGGCCUGCAUUUGAAACUGAUUUUCUUGAGUAUCGGAGAGGAAAGUGGAACUCCAGGUGUAGCGGUGAAAUGCGUAGAUAUCUGGAGGAACACCUGUGGCGAAGGCGGCUUUCUGGCCGAAUACUGACGCUCAAGCACGAAGGCUAGGGGAG
rnacentral:rRNA from 1 species